AGCGCCAUCUUCUAGGUGAGUUGGAGUCCUGGGCUUGCUUGGGUUCCGUAUGGAAUCCACUUACAUCGGACUUGCCAUCGGAUUUGCCAUCGUUAUUGCCAACUAACUGCAUCUUUUCUCUUUUUUUACUCAUAGAACCCUUUCCACGAUGAGAGCCAAGUGGAGGAAGAAGCGAAUGCGCAGGCUGAAGCGCAAAAGAAGAAAGAUGAGGCAGAGGUCCAAGUAGACUUGUGCACCCAUGGAAGCCACGAGAGCAGAAAUAAGGGAUGCCGGAGGCCAGAGGCGCUGGUACAAAUUGGACUUCUGUGCUGCAGCCUAGAACUUGUUUUCAGCGGAUCUAGAAAC